CUUACACAUGCAAGUCGAGGGGCAGCAUGAUUGAAGCUUGCUUCAAUUGAUGGCGACCGGCGCACGGGUGAGUAACGCGUAUCCAACCUUCCGUACACUCAGGGAUAGCCUUUCGAAGGAAAGAUUAAUACCCGAUGGUAUGAUGAGAUUGCAUGAUAGCAUCAUUAAAGAUUUAUCGGUGUACGAUGGGGAUGCGUUCCAUUAGGUAGUAGGCGGGGUAACGGCCCACCUAGCCGACGAUGGAUAGGGGUUCUGAGAGGAAGGUCCCCCACAUUGGAACUGAGACACGGUCCAAACUCCUACGGGAGGCAGCAGUGAGGAAUAUUGGUCAAUGGACGAGAGUCUGAACCAGCCAAGUAGCGUGAAGGAUGAAGGUCCUACGGAUUGUAAACUUCUUUUAUAAGGGAAUAAAACCUCCCACGUGUGGGAGCUUGUAUGUACCUUAUGAAUAAGCAUCGGCUAACUCCGUGCCAGCAGCCGCGGUAAUACGGAGGAUGCGAGCGUUAUCCGGAUUUAUUGGGUUUAAAGGGAGCGCAGACGGGUCGUUAAGUCAGCUGUGAAAGUUUGGGGCUCAACCUUAAAAUUGCAGUUGAUACUGGCGUCCUUGAGUGCGGUUGAGGUGUGCGGAAUUCGUGGUGUAGCGGUGAAAUGCUUAGAUAUCACGAAGAACUCCGAUUGCGAAGGCAGCACACUAAGCCGUAACUGACGUUCGUGCUCGAAAGUGUGGGUAUCAAACAGGAUUAGAUACCCUGGUAGUCCACACGGUAAACGAUGGAUACUCGCUGUUGGCGAUAUACGGUCAGCGGCUUAGCGAAAGCGUUAAGUAUCCCACCUGGGGAGUACGCCGGCAACGGUGAAACUCAAAGGAAUUGACGGGGGCCCGCACAAGCGGAGGAACAUGUGGUUUAAUUCGAUGAUACGCGAGGAACCUUACCCGGGCUUAA
rnacentral:rRNA from 1 species